rnacentral:rRNA from 1 species
UACCAGACUCCUACGGGAGGCAGCAGUGGGGAAUAUUGCACAAUGGGCGCAAGCCUGAUGCAGCCAUGCCGCGUGUAUGAAGAAGGCCUUCGGGUUGUAAAGUACUUUCAGCGGGGAGGAAGGCGAUAAGGUUAAUAACCUUGUUGAUUGACGUUACCCGCAGAAGAAGCACCGGCUAACUCCGUGCCAGCAGCCGCGGUAAUACGUAGGGUGCGAGCGUUAAUCGGAAUUACUGGGCGUAAAGGGUGUGCAGGCGGCUGAGUAAGACAGAUGUGAAAUCCCCGGGCUCAACCUGGGAACUGCAUUCGAAGCUGGCAGGCUGGAGUCUUGUAGAGGGGGGUAGAAUUCCAGGUGUAGCGGUGAAAUGCGUAGAGAUCUGGAGGAAUACCGGUGGCGAAGGCGGCCCCCUGGACAAAGACUGACGCUCAGGUGCGAAAGCGUGGGGAGCAAACAGGAUUAGAUACCCUAGUAUA